rnacentral:rRNA from 1 species
AAGAUACUCAAUGUGUAUGGUGGAUGCCUUGGGUCUUGAUGCCGAAGAAGGACGCGCCAAUCUGCGAUAAACCUCGGUCAGCUGAUAAGAAGCGUUAUUAGCCGGGGGUCUCCGAAUGGGGAAACCCAUCUGUUUAAUACAGUUAUCCUUUACUAAAACCUCACAAUUCGUGGGGUAUAGGUAAAGAGAAGGUAACUCGGUGAACUGAAACAUCUUAGUAACCGGAGGAAAGGAAACUAAAUUAAGUAAUUUCCCUAGUAGCGGCGAGCGAACGGGAAUCAGCCCAAAGGCAAGCACAAAUUAUAUUUGUGCUUGGCGGUUCGGAAACUCUAUGUCUUUAAGACAAAAGAAGUUAGAAAAUUUUUUGUAGGAGAAUCUUCCUGGAAAGUGGAGCCAAAGAGGGUAAUAGCCCCGUAAACGAAACAAAGAAUCUUCUUGAGUUGUCCAGAGUAACACGAGACACGGUAACCUCGUGUGAAGGAAGCAGGACCAUCUGCUAAGGCUAAACACGUCAAGACACCGAUAGUGAACUAGUACCGUGAGGGAAAGGUGAAAAGAACCCCGGAUAGGGGAGUGAAAUAGAAUCUGAAACCGUACACAGUCAAGCUGAUAGAGCCCACUUAUCUUCGGAUAAGUUCGGGUGAUAUUGUGCCUAUUGAAAAAUGAGCCAGCGAGUUAAUUGCACGUGCAAGCUUAAACGAUUCAGUCGUGGAGGCAAAGGGAAACCAAGUCUUAACGGGCGAUAAGUACGUGCUAUUAGACCCGAAGCCAAGUGAUCUAACCAUGGGCAGGGUGAAGUCCAUCGAGAGGUGGAUGGAGGCCCGAACCGGUGUAUGUGGAAAAAUGCUCGGAUGACCUGUGGUUAGGGCUGAAACGGUAAUCGAACUUGGCAAUAGCUGGUUCUCCCCGAAAUAUAUGUAGGUAUAGCCUUGGUCUUAUAGGAUUUGUGAGGUAGAGAUACUGAAAAGAGAUUAGGCGCUUUUGCGUACUAACUCUUACCAAACUCCGAAUGCGCAAAUCCGUUGACCGGGAGUCAGUUCUAGGGAGCAAGUUCCUAGCGCGAAAGGGAAACAUCCCAGACCAUCAGUUAAGGUCCCAAAUCUUUCCCCACUUUUGUGGGGGUUCCACCUUGUGUGGAAUGCUUAGUGAGAAAGGAAGUAAGUCUGUUUAGACAGCUAGGAGGUUAGCUUAGAAGCAGCAAACCUUUAAAGAAAGCGUAACAGCUCACUAGUUAAACGGCCUUGCGCCGAAAAUUUAACGGGACUCAAGCAAAGAACCGACACUAUGGUUUUGUCUCCUCUUGUAGGAGGCAGAAGGUAGGGGAGCAUUGAUAACAUUCAAACUUUUAAAGAUGUCAUCCUGAUGUAAAUCAGGAUCGGCUUCAAAAGAGCUUGAACGUAGCACAGAAGGUAGACCCGCGAGGGCUGCUGGAGCGUUAUCAAGAGAGAAUGCUGGCAUGAGUAACGAGAAGGUGGUGAAAACCCACCUCGCCGAAAGUCUAAGGGUUCCUCCGCAAUGUCAGUCAUCGGAGGGUUAGUCGGUCCUAAGGUGAGGCCGAAAGGCGUAGCUAAUGGACAGCAGGUUAAUAUUCCUGCACUACUGAAAAACCGUUUUUACCAAUGGAGGGACGGAGUUUGAUAGGCCGGGCUCAUUAUGGAUUUGAGUCCCGAAGGCAAGCUAGUCCGUACAGGCAAAUCCGUACGGGCGUUGUCUCCGCAAGGAGACUCACGUGAGCCGGGGGAAAAGCGUCGAAAGGCGUGAUCCGGUUGCGUUAAGCUCCCGGGAAAAGCUUCUAGGGAGGUUUUUUAGUAUCCGUACCGCAAACCGACACAGGUAGACAAGUAGAGAAUACUAAGGCGAACGAGAGAAUCGUGGCCGAGGAACUAGGCAAAUUACAUCCGUAACUUAGGGAAAAGGAUGCCCCAUGCUUAAUUGCGUGGGGGGCACAGAAAUGGCUCAAGCGACUGUUUAUUAAAAACACAGGUCUCUGCUAAACUCGCAAGAGGAGGUAUAGGGGCCGACACCUGCCCAGUGCCUGUAAGUUAAGACUGGAGGUGAUUUCCCCUCUUAGGAGUGGAAUGAGCUUUCGGUUCAAGCUCGGGUGAACGGCAGCAGUAACUAUAACUGUUCUAUGGUAGCGUAAUCCCUUGUCGAAUAAUUAUCGACCCGCACGAAAGGUGUAACGACUUGAGCACUCUCUUAGUCACGAACUCGGUGAAAUUGAACUACCGGUAAAGAUGCCGGUUACCUGUUGCUGGACAGAAAGACCCCGUGGAGCUUUACUGUAUUCUGACAUUGGUGCGUGCUAUUGACUGUGUAGAGUAGGAGGGAGUUCUCCCGUUUAACGACUGGAGGACGUCGAUGAAACACCUCUCUUUCACUAGUGCAAGCCUAACUGUUCGCCCUUAUCGGGUGAGAGGACAAUGUUUGAAGGGCAGUUUAUCUGGGGCGGAUUCCUGCUAAAGAGUAACGCAGGAGCACAAAGGUUCCCUUGUCCCGGAUGGAAAUCGGGAUGUAAGCGUAAAGGUAUAUGGGAGCUUGACUGCAAGAUAUACAAAUCGCGCAGAUACGAAAGUAGGUCUUAGUGAUCUUCCGAGUGCCUAAUGGUAGGCCCGGAACUUAUCGGAUAAAAGUUACCCCGGGGAUAACAGGCUAAUAGUGCCCGAGCGCCCACAGCGGCGGCACUGUUUGGCACCUACAAGGAAAUAGAAAGGGGUGCUAUCGAAGUAAUUCGGUACCAAAAAUUCGGCUAAUAACGGUGGAGUCCUAAUGUACAUUGUGGUAUUAUUUUGUACAUGGAUGAUACCGUGGGAAGUCUGACAAAAGUCCAAAAAUCCAUAAUAACAGGGAAAUUGUUGGGAGAUGGUUCUUUACGAAGGAGAAAAAAUACUCUUUUGGAGAUAAACCACUCUAAUAAACAGAAAGACUAUGUCUUUUGGUUGUAUGAGAAGUUGAAAUCUUAUGUUUUAACUCCUCCAAAAUUAAGAAAAUCCGGGAAAAACCGUUUUUCUUAUAGAUUUACAACCAGAAGUCUGCCUGAACUGAAUGUAUUCUAUGAGGAUUAUUAUUCUCAAAAAGAGUACAAGACCAUUCCUAGAAACCUAAAGCUAGAUCCUUUGAUUUUAGCUGUAUGGUUUAUGGAUGAUGGUUCUAAAGACAGGGAUUCUGUUUAUUUCAAUACUCAACAAUUUGACCUGGAGGAUCAGAGUUUUCUUCUCAAAAAGCUAACUGAACUUGGUUUAGAAGGCUCUUUGAAUAAGGAUAAAAUUUACUUCAGAAUACGCCUUUAUAAGAGAUGCGUUAAAAGGUUUAAUACCUUAACGGAGCCUCUGAUAAUAGAGAGUAUGAAGUAUAAACUUUUGUUAUGACCCCGUAUCGACUGAGCCCGUAAAAGCGGGCGAGAUGGAAGACUUGAGUAAAGUGUUGUAUUUUAAACUUUCAUAAUACGCCGACUCCUAUCUCUUUAAACAAAUGGAUGGUUUAAAGGAAUGAGGAAGAAGAUAUAGUCAGUGCAAUUAGUAAUAAUUGAUUAACAUGCGAUGUCGACUCGUCUUAUCCUGGGGCUGGAGAAGGUCCCAAAGGUUGGACUGUUCGUCCAUUAAAAAGGCGCGUUAGUUGGGUUUAGAGCGUCGUGAGACAGCUCGGUCCCUUUCCGCAACAGGCGCAAAGUCCUGAGAGGAGUCAUUCCUAGUACGAGAGGACCGGAAUGAACGAACCUCUAGUGUACCAGUUGUUCCGCCAGGAGCAUCGCUGGGUAGCUACGUUCGGACGUGAUAAGCGCUGAAAGCAUCUAAGCACGAAGCACACCUCAAGAUUAGGACUAUCCCACUUUAAGUGGGUCGCAACUCCUGGGAGACUACCAGGUUGAUAGGCUGUAGGUGUAAGCCCCGUAAGGGGUGU